UCCCUGUUGGCUCAGUGGUAAAGAACCUGCCUGCAAUGCAGGAGACCCGGGUUUGAUUUCUGGAUCAGGAA
rnacentral:tRNA from 1 species